GGUAAUGGCUCACCAAGGCGUCGACGGGUAGCCGGCCUGAGAGGGUGACCGGCCACACUGGGACUGAGACACGGCCCAGACUCCUACGGGAGGCAGCAGUGGGGAAUAUUGCACAAUGGGCGGAAGCCUGAUGCAGCAACGCCGCGUGAGGGAUGACGGCCUUCGGGUUGUAAACCUCUUUUAGCAGGGAAGAAGCGAGAGUGACGGUACCUGCAGAAAAAGCGCCGGCUAACUACGUGCCAGCAGCCGCGGUAAUACGUAGGGCGCAAGCGUUAUCCGGAAUUAUUGGGCGUAAAGAGCUCGUAGGCGGUUUGUCGCGUCUGCUGUGAAAUCCCGAGGCUCAACCUCGGGCCUGCAGUGGGUACGGGCAGACUAGAGUGCGGUAGGGGAGAUUGGAAUUCCUGGUGUAGCGGUGGAAUGCGCAGAUAUCAGGAGGAACACCGAUGGCGAAGGCAGAUCUCUGGGCCGUAACUGACGCUGAGGAGCGAAAGGGUGGGGAGCAAACAGGCUUAGAUACCCUGGUAGUCCACCCCGUAAACGUUGGGAACUAGUUGUGGGGACCAUUCCACGGUUUCCGUGACGCAGCUAACGCAUUAAGUUCCCCGCCUGGGGAGUACGGCCGCAAGGCUAAAACUCAAAGGAAUUGACGGGGACCCGCACAAGCGGCGGAGCAUGCGGAUUAAUUCGAUGCAACGCGAAGAACCUUACCAAGGCUUGACAUACACCAGAACACCGUAGAAAUACGGGACUCUUUGGACACUGGUGAACCAGGUGGUGCAUGGUGUCGUCA
rnacentral:rRNA from 1 species